rnacentral:rRNA from 1 species
AACAGGAUUAGAUACCCUGGUAGUCCACGCCGUAAACGAUGAGUGCUAGGUGUUGGGGGGUUCCCCCUCAGUGCCGAAGGUAACCCAUUAAGCACUCCGCCUGGGGAGUACGGCCGCAAGGCUGAAACUCAAAGGAAUUGACGGGGGCCCGCACAAGUGGUGGAGCAUGUGGUUUAAUUCGAAGCAACGCGAAGAACCUUACCAGGGCUUGACAUCCCGCUGACCGCUCCAGAGAUGGAGCUUCCCUUCGGGGCAGCGGUGACAGGUGGUGCAUGGUUGUCGUCAGCUCGUGUCGUGAGAUGUUGGGUUCAGUCCCGCAACGAGCGCAACCCUUAUCGCCAGCUGCCAGCAUUUCGGAUGGGGACUCUGGCGAGACAGCCGGUGAAAGCCGGAGGAAGGUGGGGAUGACGUCAAAUCAUCAUGCCCCUUAUGUCCUGGGCUACACACGUGCUACAAUGGCCAGUACAAAGGGAAGCGAACCCGCGAGGGGGAGCCAAUCCCAAAAAACUGGUCUCAGUUCGGAUCGCAGGCUGCAACUCGCCUGCGUGAAGCCGGAAUCGCUAGUAAUCGCGGAUCAGCAUGCCGCGGUGAAUACGUUCCCGGGCCUUGUACACACCGCCCGUCACACCACGAGAGUUUGCAACACCCGAAGUCGGUGAGGCAACCCUUCUGGGAGCCAGCCGCCGAAGGUGGGGCAGAUGAUUGGGGUGAAGUCGUAACAAGGUAACC